rnacentral:rRNA from 1 species
UACGUAGGGUGCGAGCGUUGUCCGGAAUUAUUGGGCGUAAAGGGCUCGUAGGCGGUCUGUCGCGUCGGGAGUGAAAACUCAGGGCUUAACUCUGAGCCUGCUUCCGAUACGGGCUGACUAGAGGUAUGCAGGGGAGAACGGAAUUCCUGGUGUAGCGGUGAAAUGCGCAGAUAUCAGGAGGAACACCGGUGGCGAAGGCGGUUCUCUGGGCAUUACCUGACGCUGAGGAGCGAAAGUGUGGGGAGCGAACGGG